UAAAGCCUGUUUCACGCAAAAUUAGUUGAAGGGAUUAAAUAUCCUACAAAAUAACGAUUGCCACAUUUUUUAUUCUCUCCCUGGAUGACUAAAACACCCGUGAAACAUCCACCAUGCAUUUCCGUUCGGCUAAUCCCCGCCUGCACACUCCAAAUUCAAUAUCACCAGCUAUUCUCGGUGCUAAAGAAUCAUUUUACUUUUUCCAAGUCCACAGGAAAAUGUGAACCAUCUGGAAAUGAAGGAUUCCUUUGUGUGCAACCUCUCCAUCCUGAGUCUCCGUGAGGAGGAAAACCUGCACUGUGCCUAUGGUGGAUGCGAUGGAGAUGCACUGAGCCCGACCCAGUGCUGGGUGCUCCUUGGAGCCACGUGUCCUUUCCUUGCUUUUUCAGUGGGAAACAGCCAGAUUUUGACAUGCCAGCUUCCUCAGAAGAAUAAUCAGUCUGUUACCUGCAUGUGUUGGAUGUUAAUACGCAGAUGAUUGGUCUUGAAUAUAUUUCAAGUCUCAGUGUGGGCUCUCAUUCAUCCAUGCAAGAGGAGACCUAUGGCUCCAGGGAGGAAAUCUGUAACUAAUGGGAGUUUCCAUUUAUGAGGAGAUUCUACAGCUCUUCCAGCAUUCCCUUGCACUGGUCCUAGGAACUGAAUGAUGUUUCAAAACAAGCUAUAUAAGGAAAAAGUAGGUCUGAGAUCCUGCUGUGCCCAUGCCAGGAGGUCCCAGGUUUGUUCCAAGCUUAUGGCCCAGAUUUGGUUUCAGCAAUCAUCUAAGGGAAGUUGGCUCUUUCCUGCCUGUGCCUGGCCCACACCAGCACAAAGAAGGAU